rnacentral:lncRNA from 1 species
AACCACGCCCCCUCCGUGGGCACCGUGGCGGCAGGGAAGGAAAAGGGCUCUGGGUCUCGACUCUCUUCGGGUUAAGAACCGACGGGGUUUAUUCUAUGCAAGGUGUUAUUAACUCCAACUCUCCCUUUCGUUCAUUCAUUCCAUAUAUGUUGAACGACAACUUAGUGCCAAAUGCCGGCAUGCUGAAACUCAGAGAGGGAAGAUGUCUUGCAAGUACAGCAGCCACACCCAGAGUUUCGCUCUUGUUCCCUGGGCUGCAGUGCAGU